rnacentral:tRNA from 1 species
GCCCCGGUGGCGAAAUUGGCAGACGCGCCGGCUUCAGGAGCCGGUUUUUUGGGAGUUCGACCCUCCCCUGGGGCACCA